GAUGACAAUAUAAAAUUUCUUAAAAUCACAUAUUUUGCCUAUGAAAAUAAUUCGUUCCAGCCCCAAAUUUUGCAGUCUGACUACUUUGUAUUUCCGGAGUUGUUUAGUUCAGAGUGGUUCACACCCGGAAAAUUUGCAUGCAAAGCACUCUCACUUAAAAAUCAAAUCAAUCAUCCAGUGAUUCAACGCUACCGUCGUCUGCAUGUCCGCCAUUUUAGCUGUGUGAACAAGGCAACAUUUUUGGUCUGUUGUUUUUCAAAGUUUUCCCAUUGUUUUGUGCAUCUAGACGAGCAUAUCUACAGGGCCAACAAAUAAACAAAGUCCUAAUUUUCGUCUUAUCUCCGUUUUCGUCUUCGCCUCUUCGCCAUCGUUUCAUCGCCGCCUUCGCUUUCACCAUCGUCUCAUCGCCGUCUUUGCUUUUCUCAUCGCCUCGUCGCUGUCGUUGCCUGCGCCAUCGUCUCGUGGCUGUCUUUGCCUGCGCCAUCGCCUCGUCGCUGUCUUUGCCUGCGCCAUCGCCUCGUCGUGGUCUUUGCCUGCGCCAUCGCCAUCGCCUCGUCGCUGUCUUUGCCUGCGCCAUCGCCAUCGCCUCGUCGCUGUCUUUGCCUGCGCCAUCGCCAUCGCCUCGUCGCUGUCUUUGCCUGCCUCGUCGUCGUCUUCGCGUUUACCUCAUCGCCGUCUUCGCCUUCACUUUCGCCUUCGCCAUCGUUUCAUUGCUGCCUUCGCUUUUGCCGUCAUCUCAUCGCUGUCUUCAACUUCGCCAUCGGCUCAUCUCCGUCUUCGUCGCUGCCUAUAUCUUCGCCUGUGGCCUACAACGAUGGAACAAUCGGAUCGAGGAAAAAACUCGAGAGAGGUGCUUAACUGGUAUAGUUUUGUGCUGUAUUUUUUUAAUGUUGUGUUAUAUAGUUAACCCGUUGGCUGCCACCCCGUUUGCGCCCCAUUUUUUUUUUAGCUUAUAGGGACCGGCCGCGCUGUUCUAGCCUCAUGGUCUAUAGCCAUGGGGUGGAGCAGUCGCAAUGGCCUCGCCGAAAGGCGCUUUAGGCAAUGCACCAUUAGGGACUUCUCCUUGUCGAUGUGGUGGCGGAUUCCUGAGGGUGUGCAUUCCCUGUAACGGAUUCCGUCACCGUGUCAGCCCGGACUUGUCUUCGGACAAGUCCCCCUUGGUCGGCGAUCCUUCAGACACGAUGCGUAGCUAACGUAGUUUAAGCAACCUACGGGUUGCGUGGCCUGGCAGCCAACAGGUUAACUAAUUAGUUGUAUGUGUGUGUGUAUGUAUGUAUGUAUGUAUACUUGUAUUUAUGUAUUGUAUGUAUUGUAUGUAAAACAGUGGAGGAAUUGAUGGGUGGAGGAGGGACAAUAAAAAAAUUCCAUUUA